rnacentral:rRNA from 1 species
UACGUAGGGUGCAAGCGUUAAUCGGAAUCAUUGGGCGUAAAGCGCGUGUAGGCGGCCCGGUAAGUCCGCUGUGAAAGUCGGGGGCUCAACCCUCGGAUGCCGGUGGAUACUGUCGGGCUAGAGUACGGAAGAGGCGAGUGGAAUUCCUGGUGUAGCGGUGAAAUGCGCAGAUAUCAGGAGGAACACCAAUUGCGAAGGCAGCUCGCUGGGACGUUACUGACGCUGAGACGCGAAAGCGUGGGGAGCAAACAGG